rnacentral:rRNA from 1 species
AUGAACGCUAGCGACAGGCUUAACACAUGCAAGUCGAGGGGCAGCGGGGGUAGCAAUACCCGCCGGCGACCGGCGCACGGGUGAGUAACGCGUAUGCAACUUACCUAUCAGAGGGGGAUAACCCGGCGAAAGUCGGACUAAUACCGCAUGAAGCAGGGGUCCCGCAUGGGGAUAUUUGCUAAAGAUUCAUCGCUGAUAGAUAGGCAUGCGUUCCAUUAGGCAGUUGGCGGGGUAACGGCCCACCAAACCGACGAUGGAUAGGGGUUCUGAGAGGAAGGUCCCCCACAUUGGUACUGAGACACGGACCAAACUCCUACGGGAGGCAGCAGUGAGGAAUAUUGGUCAAUGGGCGUAAGCCUGAACCAGCCAAGUCGCGUGAGGGAUGAAGGUUCUAUGGAUCGUAAACCUCUUUUAUAAGGGAAUAAAGUGCGGGACGUGUCCUGUUUUGUAUGUACCUUAUGAAUAAGGAUCGGCUAACUCCGUGCCAGCAGCCGCGGUAAUACGGAGGAUCCGAGCGUUAUCCGGAUUUAUUGGGUUUAAAGGGUGCGUAGGCGGCCUUUUAAGUCAGCGGUGAAAGUCUGUGGCUCAACCAUAGAAUUGCCGUUGAAACUGGGAGGCUUGAGUAUGUUUGAGGCAGGCGGAAUGCGUGGUGUAGCGGUGAAAUGCUUAGAUAUCACGCAGAACCCCGAUUGCGAAGGCAGCCUGCCAAGCCAUGACUGACGCUGAUGCACGAAAGCGUGGGGAUCAAACAGGAUUAGAUACCCUGGUAGUCCACGCAGUAAACGAUGAUCACUAGCUGUUUGCGAUACACUGUAAGCGGCACAGCGAAAGCGUUAAGUGAUCCACCUGGGGAGUACGCCGGCAACGGUGAAACUCAAAGGAAUUGACGGGGGCCCGCACAAGCGGUGGAGCAUGUGGUUUAAUUCGAAGCAACGCGAAGAACCUUACCAAGUCUUGACAUCCUUCUGACCGGACAGUAAUGUGUCCUUUCCUUCGGGACAGAAGAGACAGGUGGUGCAUGGUUGUCGUCAGCUCGUGCCGUGAGGUGUCGGCUUAAGUGCCAUAACGAGCGCAACCCUUGCCACUAGUUACUAACAGGUGAUGCUGAGGACUCUGGUGGGACUGCCAGCGUAAGCUGCGAGGAAGGCGGGGAUGACGUCAAAUCAGCACGGCCCUUACAUCCGGGGCGACACACGUGUUACAAUGGCGUGGACAAAGGGAUGCCACCUGGCGACAGGGAGCGAAUCCCCAAACCACGUCUCAGUUCGGAUCGGAGUCUGCAACCCGACUCCGUGAAGCUGGAUUCGCUAGUAAUCGCGCAUCAGCCAUGGCGCGGUGAAUACGUUCCCGGGCCUUGUACACACCGCCCGUCAAGCCAUGGGAGCCGGGGGUACCUGAAGUCCGUAACCGCGAGGAUCGGCCUAGGGUAAAACUGGUGACUGGGGCU